GUCCAGUCCUCUUCUGCCAGAAGCACUCUCUAUAUUUUGCUGAACAUGAAGACUUCUGGGAAAGAGGAUAUAAUAGCAAGGCUUCUUAUUCUUACUACAUUCCAAUACAUUUAUUUUUCUAUGCACGACACGUCAUCAGACAGAGUAUCACUCUGCCGCCCAGGCUUAAGUGCAGUGUCACCUUCUUGGCUCACUGGCAAGCUCCGCCUCCUGGAUUCAAGCCAUUCUCCUGCCUCAGCCUCCCCAGUAGCUGGGAUCACAGGCAUGCACCACCACACCCAGCUAAUUUUUGUAUUUUUAAUAGAGACGAGGUUUCACCAUGUUGGACAGGUUUGUCUUAAACUCCUGACCUCAGGUGAUCCACCCCCCUCAGUCUCCCAAAAUGCUGGGAUUACAGGUAUGAGCCACCGAGCCCAGCCACAGUUUUUUUUUUUUUUUUUUAAGAAAAAAAAAAAAAAAAAAACAA